rnacentral:rRNA from 1 species
UACGGGGGGAGCAAGCGUUGUUCGGAUUUACUGGGCGUAAAGGGCGCGUAGGCGGCCACUGCAAGUCAGUUGUGAAAUCUCCGGGCUUAACCCGGAAAGGUCAACUGAUACUGCAGGGCUAGAGUGCAGAAGGGGCAACUGGAAUUCUCGGUGUAGCGGUGAAAUGCGUAGAUAUCGGGAGGAACACCUGUGGCGAAGGCGGCUUUCUGGGCC